GUUUUAGUCCUUUCCCUGGUGGUGGUAACGACCUCCACAGCAUAUCAAUGUUCUGCAGCCGCCUGCUAACGAGCCGUCAUUUGAACCAGGUGAGUUGAACCAAGGAGCGAACUAAACACAUAGGAUACCAGGCCUCAAGGACCGAGGUUGGACACCUCUGGCAUAAAGCUUAACAUCCUAGAAAUCCACCAUGAAAGCCACAGUGUAGCAAAGGUAGGACACUGCUGAGAAGCCACACUCACUCACAGAGAUGUGUGGAGCUGAAUGGGAAAGUAGCAAGGAAAGGAUACCGGCACAUCACAGUGAAUCACAAGAAGUACGAGAGGCUAACCUCCGAAAAUCUCAACAUCUGGUCACAUGAUGCAUUCUGAAGCCCUUCCAAUGAAGCCACCUUCAGGAACAUCAACAUGACAAGCAUGACGAGUCCUGAGCAGCAGCAAAGGAUCCGAACGCUGAGCCUCGGGG